rnacentral:rRNA from 1 species
AACGUAGGACGCAAGCGUUAUCCGGAGUUACUGGGCGUAAAGGGCGCGUAGGCGGUUCGUUAAGUCCUGUGUGAAAUCCCCCGGCUCAACUGGGGAACUGCACAGGAAACUAGCGGGCUUGAGUUCGGGAGAGGGAAGCGGAAUUCCGGGUGUAGCGGUGAAAUGCGUAGAUAUCCGGAGGAACACCGGUGGCGAAGGCGGCUCCUGGACCGACACUGACGCUGAGGCGCGAAAGCUAGGGGAGCAAAGCGGG